AGUGAACGCUGGCGGUAGGCCUAACACAUGCAAGUCGAACGAGUGGCGGACGGGUGAGGAAUACAUCGGAAUCUACUCUGUCGGGGGGGAUAACGUAGGGAAACUUACGCUAAUACCGCAUAAGAUUGAAUGAGCCGAUGUCGGAUUAUCUAGUUGGCGGGGUAAAGGCCCACGAAGGCGACGAUCCGUAGCUGGUCGGAGAGGAUGAUCAGCCACACUGGAACGGAGACACGGUCCAGACUCCUACGGGAGGCAGCAGUGGGGAAUAUUGGACAAUGGGCGCAAGCCUGAUCCAGCCAUGCCGCGUGGGUGAAGAAGGCCUUCGGGUUGUAAAGCCCUUUUUGUGGGAAAGCGGUACCCGAAGAAUAAGCACCGGCUAACUUCGUGCCAGCCGCCGCGGUAAUUC
rnacentral:rRNA from 1 species